rnacentral:lncRNA from 10 species
AAAAAAUCUACGACCUGGGAAAGGAAAGAGCCAGUUGAGGAAAAGCCCUUUGUCCCUUCUUUGUUUAUAUCUCCAACUUCCCGAUUUUUCCUGUGGCUGUGAUGGCCAGGAUGUGGCAGCCCUCUGGUUAUAACAGUGUCACAAAUCCUUCAUUGAGGCUGCCUUGCAACCCAAGCUCUGCCUCUCUCCAAUCCUCUCUUUCCCUCCCUUCAUAGGUGCAGAUGCUGAGAGCACUUUCUAGUCAAGUCCUGCAUGUUCAUUUCUGUCUCAAGUCAGCUUCUCUGAGAAUCCAAUUUAUAAAAAUAUAUUUGUGAAUGUAUAAGUAAAGUGACUUGGAUUUUGUCUACGUACAAGGACUUCUAUGCCUGCAUAAAACAGCGUAGUUUGGAACCAGCAGCAGCAGCAGCUCCCCA